CCAAAAUAUAUGAUUCAAUGAACUUAACUUUAUUCAACCCAGAUCUUACAAAAUAACUUUAUGGUCAAAAGAUAUAACUAAUUUGGCUUAUUUGGCAAUUUUUAAAAGUUUUACCUUUAUUUCCUGUUCAAAAAUUCAGUUCAGUUUCGACAGAUUAAUGCUAUAUCUAAUGUAAAUAACUCAGAAAAAUUAGGUAUUGGGUGAAGUAUAACAAGGAUUUUAUUUUCACCCCAGAGAUACACAAUAGAUUGCUUUAUGUUUAAAAUCUAUCACAUUUAUAGUGUUCUAAAAAAGUGCAAAGUGAAUAUUGUUAAUUAUACCAGAUCAUCUAUUUUUAAUAGAGAAAUUGGCCGAUGCCCACUUCUUAUCCAGUCAGAAGUCCACUCAGAAUGUUUUCUAUGGAUUUUAAGGCAUAAAGGAUAAAAAUGUGCUUUCUGUGCACGCAAAGAUUUACAAUUAUCUUUGCAUCCAAACAUAUGUCUCUUACCUUUAUGUGAUUUUUAAUAAACUCAAAAAGAACAUGCUGGUAGUGGAUGUUUAUAGAUUAAACAUUGUAGGAGUUCUUAGUUUUGAUGCAUUUAAUAAAUGUGUAAAACAAAAAAGUUCAGCAUUGAUCAGAGCCAAUCAAGGGAAAAUGGAAAUCUUCUGGCCUCUACUUUUUGAAUGGGGGAAUUCUUUGGAUUUCUAAAAUCUAUUGUGGUAUAAUGGACAACACGUGCAUCAGGUAGUAUUCCGACAGUCCCCAAAGGCAACACUGUAUGCACACAUUCUGUGAACUGCAUGCCUCUUUGGUCUGCUCCCCUCAAAAGCCUCCAUCCCUCCCACCAUCUCUCCGUCUCUCUGAGAACAGCACACUCUCUGGGUGAUGUCUCAUGGGGAACCAGCAGGUUGCAAAUGUAGUCUAUGAAUCAUCAUGAGGCAUGAAAACAGAAACGCACCAGUAACGGCUCCCACCGCCCUCCUCAGUCUCUCCAUCCACUCUGUCCCUUUCUCUAAUCUGCCUUUAUCACUUGUCUUUGGUGCCUCUGCUCAUUUGGCUGGCAUGGCCUUAAUGUGUUCAGACACGUUUGACUGUGUGAGAAAAGGCACACAGAACUGUUGCUGUUGCUCAGGGAUCAAUGUAUUAAAUGGAAGAUGACAAAGCGUUUCAUACUAGCUCAGUGGGUCAGACAUAGAAGAUGGACAUCAGAGUUUUAUCUGUGAUCAAAAGGGAUAAAACCGUGGGAGCCUUUUCUUCUGAUCAGACUGCAAAGAUGCAAGACUAUAUCCAUGUGUGCAGAGGACAACAGCAGAAAGAGACACAAUCUAAUGGUGGAUUUAUGACCCUGAAACCUUCUCCCAUCUACCCAGAGGGUCAGAGGUCGUCUCAAACGUCAGAAUCAGAGGCAGGCUCCUGUUGGUAUUCCUGCCAGAAGAUCAAAAUGUUAACUAAAAAUACAGCAAAAGGACAAGAUGUUUCCAUCCAAGUUCAUGUCACAAACAGCAGACUCCACACUUAUUGUCACCCCACUGUAAAGAUGUGUGAAAAGCCUUUAAAUAAAUGCGGCUUUUGUGCAGUAGAAUAAUCUCACAUUGCAAAAAAAAACAAAAAACACCACUUUUACUUCGAGUACAUUGUUUUUUUUUCUCAAGAUGUACUCCUACUAUUAAAACUGUAAUAAUGA